rnacentral:rRNA from 1 species
GACGAACGCUGGCGGCGUGCUUAACACAUGCAAGUCGAACGCUGAAGCACCAGCUUGCUGGUGUGGAUGAGUGGCGAACGGGUGAGUAGUACGUGAGUAACCUGCCCUUGACUCUGGGAUAAGCCCGGGAAACUGGGUCUAAUACUGGAUGCUACAUGUCACCGCGGGGUGGUGUGUGGAAAGGGUUUACUGGUCUUGGAUGGGCUCACGGCCUAUCAGCUUGUUGGUGAGGUAAUGGCUCACCAAGGCGACGACGGGUAGCCGGCCUGAGAGGGUGACCGGCCACACUGGGACUGAGACACGGCCCAGACUCCUACGGGAGGCAGCAGUGGGGAAUAUUGCACAAUGGGCGAAAGCCUGAUGCAGCGACGCCGCGUGAGGGAUGACGGCCUUCGGGUUGUAAACCUCUUUCAGCAGGGAAGAAGCCACAAGUGACGGUACCUGCAGAAGAAGCGCCGGCUAACUACGUGCCAGCCGCCGCCGUAA